UACAGAGGGGCGAAGCGUUGUUCGGAAUUACUGGGCGUAAAGGGCGCGUAGGCGCCUUCUAAGUCGAACGUGAAAUCCCCGGGCUCAACCCGGGAACUGCGUCCGAUACUGGAAGGCUUGAAUCCGGGAGAGGGAUGCGGAAUUCCAGGUGUAGCGGUGAAAUGCGUAGAUAUCUGGAGGAACACCGGUGGCGAAGGCGGCAUCCUGGACCGGCAUUGACGCUGAGGCGCGAAAGCGUGGGGAGCAAACAGG
rnacentral:rRNA from 1 species